AGUGGCGAACUGGUGAGUAACGCGUAAGAAUCUACCCUCUGGUGGGGGAUAACUCAUGGAAACAUGAGCUAAUACCGCAUGAAGCCGAGCGCAUAGAGAUAUGAGCUUGGUAAAAGGAGAAAUCCGCCAGUGGAUGAGCUUGCGUCCCAUUCGCUAGUUGGAAGGGUAAAGGCCUACCAAGGCGAUGAUGGGUAGCUGGCCUGAGAGGGUGGUCAGCCACACUGGGACUGAGAUACGGCCCAGACUCCUACGGGAGGCAGCAGCUAAGAAUCUUCCUCAAUGGGGGAAACCCUGAAGGAGCGACACUGCGUGCAGGAUGAAGGCCCUUUGGGUUGUAAACUGCUUUUGUAGGGGAGAAAUAACCGAAUGGGAUGAUAGUACCCUACGAAUAAGUCCCGGCUAACUACGUGCCAGCAGCCGCGGUAAAACGUAAGGGGCGAACGUUGCUCGGAAUUACUGGGCGUAAAGGGCCGGUAGGUGGCUUUAUAAGUCAGUUGUCAAAUACCCAUGCUCAACGUGGGAACGGCGACUGAUACUGUAGAGCUUGAGUAGAGGAGGGGAUGACGGAAUACCCGGUGUAGGGGUGAAAUCUGUUGAUAUCGGGUAGAACACCGAUGGCGAAAGCGGUCAUCUAGCCUCAUACUGACACUCAACGGCGAAAGCCAGGGGAGCGAACGGGAUUAGAUACCCCGGUAGUCCUGGCCAUAAACGAUGCAUGCUAGGUAUUGGCACCGCGUUUGGUGAUAAGUACCCGUAGCUUACGCGUUAAG
rnacentral:rRNA from 1 species